GUGGGGAAUAUUGGACAAUGGGCGAAAGCCUGAUCCAGCCAUGUCGCAUGUGUGAAGAAGGUCUUCGGAUUGUAAAGCACUUUAAGUUGGGAGGAAGGGCAGUAAGUUAAUACCUUGCUGUUUUGACGUUACCGACAGAAUAAGCACCGGCUAACUUCGUGCCAGCAGCCGCGGUAAUACGAAGGGUGCAAGCGUUAAUCGGAAUUACUGGGCGUAAAGCGCGCGUAGGUGGUUUUGUAAGUUGGAGGUGAAAUCCCCGGGCUCAACCUGGGAACUGCCUCCAAAACUGCAUGACUAGAGUACGGUAGAGGGUAGUGGAAUUUCCUGUGUAGCGGUGAAAUGCGUAGAUAUAGGAAGGAACACCAGUGGCGAAGGCGACUACCUGGACUGAUACUGACACUGAGGUGCGAAAGCGUGGGGAGCAAACAGGAUUAGAUACCCGUGUAGUCC
rnacentral:rRNA from 1 species